ACUACGGGUGGCAGCAGUGGGGAAUAUUGCACAAUGGGGGAAACCCUGAUGCAGCGACACCGCGUGAAGGAAGAAGUAUUUCGGUAUGGAAACUUCUAUCAGCAGGGAAGUAAAUGACGGUACCUGACUAAGAAGCCCCGGCUAACUACGUGCCAGCAGCCGCGGCAACAGGGAGGGUGCAAGCGUUAUCCGGAUUUACUGGGUGUAAAGGGAGAGUAGGCGGGUUAGCAAGUCAGAAGUGAAAGGCCGGGGCUCAACUCCGGGACUGCUUUUGACACUGUUGGACUAGAGUGCAGGAGAGGUAAGUGGAAUUCCUGGGGUAGCGGUGAAAUGCGUAGAUAGUAGGAAGAACACCAGUGGCGAAGGCAGCUUACUGGACUGUAAAUGACGCUGAGGCUCGAAAGCGUGGGGAGCAAACAGGACGAGAUACCCUAGUAGUC
rnacentral:rRNA from 1 species